ensembl:snoRNA SNORD14 Small nucleolar RNA SNORD14
UCACAGUGAUGAUGGUUUUUCAACGUUCACAAUUUCCACCAGAAAGGGGUUCCUUAGUGUUGGGUAAACCUUCCUUGGAUGUCUGUGAGA